rnacentral:lncRNA from 1 species
GCAGCAAAGAACUGGCCAACUGCAAGCCAAGAAAGAGGUGGAGUCAGAUUUGAGAGGCAGAAGAAAGUUUCAGAGCAAGAUCAGUUGGUUAAAUACGAGGCACCAAGUGACCACGCAUAUCACACUGCUGGUUUCUUUUGGACCUACCAAGCUUACCGUCAGACAGUUCGAGCAGAAAUUCACCGCGAAUUGGAAAUGGUACAUCUGAGAUCAAGCCCAAGCAGGAGCAGAAGGUACAACCUGGCUGUUGGACAACCCAGAAUUGCUGUGUGCUGGUGAAG